AGGACGAACGCUGGCGGCGUGCUUAACACAUGCAAGUCGAGCGGAAAGGCCCUUCGGGGUACUCGAGCGACGAACGGGUGAGUAACACGUGGGCAACCUGCCCCUAGCUCUGGGAUAACUCCGGGAAACCGGUGCUAAUACCGGAUACGACCUCGAGCGGCAUCUCUUGAGGUGGAAAGCUCCGACGGUGAGGGAUGGGCCCGCGGCCUAUCAGCUUGUUGGUGGGGUAAUGGCCUACCAAGGCGACGACGGGUA
rnacentral:rRNA from 1 species